rnacentral:tRNA from 1 species
ACAUUCAUGGUUCAGUGGUAGAAUUCUUGCCUUCUAUGUGGGAAACCUGGGUUUGAUUCCCGGCCAAUGCA